GAGCGCCCCGCAAGGGGAGCGGCAGACGGGAGAGUAACACGUGGGAACGUACCCUUCAGUUCGGAGCAACCCAGGGAAACUUGGGCUAAUACCGGAUACGUCCGUAAGGAGAAAGAUUUAUCGCUGAAGGAGCGGCCCGCGUCUGAUUAGCUUGUUGGUGAGGUAACGGCUCACCAAGGCUACGAUCAGUAGCUGGUCUGAGAGGAUGAUCAGCCUCACUGGGACUGAGACACGGCCCAGACUCCUACGGGAGGCAGCAGUGGGGAAUAUUGGACAAUGGGCGCAAGCCUGAUUCAGCCAUGCCGCGUGGAUGAUGAAGGCCUUAGGGUUGUAAAAUCCUUUCGACGGGGAAGAUAAUGACGGUACCCGUAGAAGAAGCCCCGGCUAACUUCGUGCCAGCAGCCGCGGUAAUACGAAGGGGGCUAGCGUUGCUCGGAAUCACUGGGCGUAAAGCGCACGUAGGCGGCUUUUUAAGUCAGAGGUGAAAUCCUGGAGCUCAACUCCAGAACUGCCUUUGAUACUGAGAAGCUUGAGUCCGGGAGAGGUGAGUGGAACUGCGAGUGUAGAGGUGAAAUUCGUAGAUAUUCGCAAGAACACCAGUGGCGAAGGCGGCUCACUGGCCCGGUACUGACGCUGAGGUGCGAAAGCGUGGGGA
rnacentral:rRNA from 1 species